GAUUUCUGGCUUGGUGUGUCUGACCCGCCACGGUUACGUGUGUGAGUGUUGGUACGUACCUGCCAUCCUUGUAGAGAACAAUUCUACCCUUGAUUGGGCCGGGAUUGUGCUUUCUCUACAUCUUUUACUUUGAAAAAAUUAGAGUGUUUCAAGCAGGCAUUUGCUAUGAAUACAUUAGCAUGGAAUAAUAAUCUAGGACUUUGGUUCUAUUUUGUUGGUUUCUAGGGCUGAAGUAAUGAUUGAUAGGGAUAGUUGGGGGUGCUAGUAUUCAGCGGCCAGAGGUGAAAUUCUCGGAUUCGCUGAAGACUAACUUAUGCGAAAGCAUU
rnacentral:rRNA from 1 species